AUGAAAGUAAAGCGAUUAUUUUUGCAUCUACUAUCUACGUAUAAAACUGCCUACAUUAAAUAAGCCAUUCGUACGCUUCAAAAACUUUAUAAGCCGCAUUUGAAAUAAAGGAAACGGAAAAACAUAAAGGCUUUGAAAUACAGUAUGAGCCAAAUUAUUAAUUAAUAGACUCACAAAGCUUUGUUCAUAAAACGUCUCUUGCUGAAGCAAGUCCACCACUUGCUGGGAUGAUCCUUUUCAGUUGCAUAUACAUGGGACAAAAGACGAUAAGCAAGUUCCUGACGAAAUUGAGUAAGAUAUGUACGCAUUAUUUCUUUUUUUAAUAGUUAGCAAAUGAAAAAAAAAGCAAGAAAGCUAUUAGCGGCACAAACAUCUAUAUGUCUAAUGCCACAGUUUGGGUGAAUCUUACCAGCAUCUUGAGGAGAAAGGGGAGGAGCAUAUAAUGCAUUCAAGGGAAAGCCAGCAGAGCCAGGAAUAGAAAAAUUCUCCAACGCUAAACUAUUAAGUUGACGUUCAGCAUCACGAUAAUUGAGUCCAUUAACUCUUCCCAAGCACUCACUGAUAAAUAAUGUUCCAUAAAUUAAAGUACGGUCUGCUGGUCCCUUAAUCUCAAAAUUGCGGAAGAAACAAUUGGCGCGAAACAGCCCAAUGCAUUCAUCAAUAAUAUCCAUUUGACUCUCAUCAGCUGUAUAAAAAAUGUUAGAAAGUACUCUAAUAACAUUAAGAAUAGUCUUUAAACAGAGUUGACAAAUAUCUGGAACAUACCAGGAUAAGCCGGUCCACGAAACUUGGUUUUCAACGGCAGCAUUGCUAUGUUUCCCGUGGUAGGGACGUCCGUAAGACUUAAGAAGGAGGAAUGAUAGGCCUUUCAUAACAUGUCAGCAACAAAAAUUCAAAACUUUAGAACAUACCGGCAUAUCUAAUGUCUAGUGCUUAUGAUGUUGUUGGAUAACUUGAGCACCUGCUGAAUGUGCCGAUAGGGAGCAUUUC